UACAGAGGGGGCAAGCGUUGUUCGGAAUUACUGGGCGUAAAGGGCGCGUAGGCGGCCCGCUAAGUCGAACGUGAAAUCCCCGAGCUCAACUCGGGAACUGCGUCCGAUACUGGCGGGCUUGAAUCCGGGAGAGGGAUGCGGAAUUCCAGGUGUAGCGGUGAAAUGCGUGGAUAUCGGUAGGAACACCAGUGGCGAAGGCGGUCUCCUGGGGCAUUCUUGACGCUGAGGCGCGAAAGCUGGGGGAGCAAACGGG
rnacentral:rRNA from 1 species